rnacentral:lncRNA from 1 species
GGAGAGGAACCAAGGCGUCAAGACUUUGUCAGGAGUUCAUUCGGAUAUCAAUAACCUGAUUUGCACGAGUUUUUCAGAUUAAAAAAAUGCCCUUUUCGAGCUGGAACCAAAACUGAAGUUCCUGCUGCUAAGGACAACGCCUUUCCCAGCUCCGGAUUUCAGUGGACAAUUCAAGCAAGCCGACAAGAAGUGAAAAUGCUGGAUUACAUUUUUCAAGAUCUUUCUGUAGCUCAUUAGGUUAAUAACAUUAGUGUCAUACGAGCUGCUAAGUAAGUAAUCAAAAGCUACUUUCUCGUCACAACAUCAAUGCAGUGCUAGGCGUCUAGAACAGGAGAAUGACUGAACUGAUCAGCAGAGAGAAAUUGUCAGGAUAUACAAAAAAAUUCUAACAAACUAGUAUUAAGAAAUAGUGAAGUCUGUCAGAGAAAUUAAAUUUGCUUGUAUUACGACCCGUGCAAUAUUCAAAGAAACCUUAUUUUUUUUCUUCUUGACAACCGCAUAACCAAUUCAGAUUUCGAUAAUUUUAUGUCACAAUUUCCCAAUUGUUCGAAAAUUUUCAUUUGAUUUCGGUCAAAUUCUAGACCACGUUCACCGUAAUUUUUUUUUAAAAAGUCCUUGUUCACCUUAAAAUUUACAUAAAAAAAGCUACUCGCUUGAAUUCCCAACAGGCAUGGAACAAAAUUAAAUAUUCAGUAUUUGGUUGCCAAAAUGAAGCGCGUGUGUGGCUGGAUUGUCUUAAAAGUUCAAUCGUACACAAUUUUUGACUAAUUUUUAUUUAAUUAUUCUAAUUUGCAGUUUUUACAAGAUUGUUCCAACUUUUGCGAAAUACAGUUAGCACUGCAGAUUGAUUUCAUGAACCACGACCAGGAACCUGUUGAAACAAAAUUUAUCGGCCGAGUCAAUAUUUGGUGGUCAAAAUUAAGCAAGAGGCUACUGAAUUGUCUAGAGACCAACACACUCAGAGUCAUAAACAUGUGUUAACCAAUUUUGGUUUAAUUUUUCCAUCUCGCAAUUUAACAAGAUUGCUCCAAAUGGGCCAAAUGUUCUCACCAAGUGUGACAAAAGUCUACAUAAAAUAUAGUGCAAGCUAUGGGUAUUGAUUUCACAGGGCGCUGAAUUGUCUUGAAACUAUUUUACGCAGUCGUAAACAAAUUUGAAACAUUUUUGUGUUAAUUCGUCGCAUGUAUUCAAAAGUAGUUUAAUUUUUUUGAAGAAGACAUUUUUACAUGGUUUCCUUCAGUAUUGCACGGGUCCGAGUUUGAAGAAAUGUGAAUUCGAUCUUUGAGCGAAGGCUUUUCGUACUUGUAAUUCGAUUAUUUUGUUUGCCGAAAACUUACAAAUUAGCAAAAACCUCAUUUCUUAGCUCGACUACUUUGCCUUCAACUUAUCGUUGAAGCCAUACAACCACUAGUUCAUUUUUCAAUGAUUCUCAGAAAUAGCAAGCAAGGUUUCUUAUUCGGACUUAUAAUUUGAUAAUUUUGUUUGCAAAAACUUGACUAUUAAUCAGAAAUUAUUUCUCAGGCCAAGCCUGACUGUUUUGCGUACUAUUUAUCGCUCAGUGACUAAAGAACCUAAACACUUAGAUUAUUUUUCAGACUUUGCCAGUCUUACUAUUCAUAUUUUAAAUAGUAAAUUUUCGCUUUUGUGAUUUAAUACUGUUUAUUUCUUAGAAAUAAAGUUAAUUAACACAUACAGCAUUUGUAGUACAAUAGUUGUCUUUAAUAGUUGAAAUAAACAAAGACUUACAAUCAAUAAAUGCGUCUUGCUUUAUUUACAAGAGAAAGGAACAAAAAAAAUCUGCGCUUUUGAAAGGGGCCUGGAAACUAGUCGGAAUGUAGGCUAUCUCUUUUACUAUUUUUUGACUAUGUAAGGUUGCCGACGCCGGGAAAAAUUUCUGCAAAAUUGAAUGGGGUCUAGUAUAAAAUCGCAAUAAACACCAACUUUUGAUGGGAGAAAUCUGCUGCUACCGCAGAGACUUUUCCCGCCAAAAGACUUUGUUUAUUUUUGACUCAAUA